CUAUGCGCCUUGCCAGCCCGCUCAGGUGUGCCAGCAGCCGCGGUAAUACGUAGGUGGCAAGCGUUAUCCGGAUUUAUUGGGCGUAAAGAGAACGCAGGCGGUCUUUUAAGUCUGAUGUGAAAGCCUUCGGCUUAACCGGAGUAGUGCAUUGGAAACUGGGAGACUUGAGUGCAGAAGAGGAGAGUGGAACUCCAUGUGUAGCGGUGAAAUGCGUAGAUAUAUGGAAGAACACCAGUGGCGAAAGCGGCUCUCUGGUCUGUAACUGACGCUGAGGUUCGAAAGCGUGGGUAGCAAACAGG
rnacentral:rRNA from 1 species